rnacentral:rRNA from 1 species
AUUGAACGCUGGCGGCAGGCCUAACACAUGCAAGUCGAACGGUAACAGGAAGCAGCUUGCUGCUUUGCUGACGAGUGGCGGACGGGUGAGUAAUGUCUGGGAAACUGCCUGAUGGAGGGGGAUAACUACUGGAAACGGUAGCUAAUACCGCAUAACGUCGCAAGCCCAAAGAGGGGGACCUUCGGGCCUCUUGCCAUCGGAUGUGCCCAGAUGGGAUUAGCUUGUUGGUGGGGUAACGGCUCACCAAGGCGACGAUCCCUAGCUGGUCUGAGAGGAUGACCAGCCACACUGGAACUGAGACACGGUCCAGACUCCUACGGGAGGCAGCAGUGGGGAAUAUUGCACAAUGGGCGCAAGCCUGAUGCAGCCAUGCCGCGUGUAUGAAGAAGGCCUUCGGGUUGUAAAGUACUUUCAGCGGGGAGGAAGGGAGUAAAGUUAAUACCUUUACUCAUUGACGUUACCCGCAGAAGAAGCACCGGCUAACUCCGUG